rnacentral:rRNA from 1 species
UACGUAGGGUGCAAGCGUUAUCCGGAAUUAUUGGGCGUAAAGAGCUCGUAGGCGGUUUGUCGCGUCUGCUGUGAAAACUGGAGGCUCAACCUCCAGCCUGCAGUGGGUACGGGCAAACUAGAGUGCGGUAGGGGAGAUUGGAAUUCCUGGUGUAGCGGUGAAAUGCGCAGAUAUCAGGAGGAACACCGAUGGCGAAGGCAGGUCUCUGGGCCACUACUGACGCUGAGAAGCGAAAGCAUGGGGAGCGAACAGG